rnacentral:rRNA from 1 species
CGUUUUGUGGGGUGCUCGAGUGGCGAACGGGUGAGUAACACGUGAGUAACCUGCCCUUGACUUUGGGAUAACUUCAGGAAACUGGGGCUAAUACCGGAUAGGAGCUCCUGCUGCACGGUGGGGGUUGGAAAGUUUCGGCGGUUGGGGAUGGACUCGCGGCUUAUCAGCUUGUUGGUGGGGUAGUGGCUUACCAAGGCUUUGACGGGUAGCCGGCCUGAGAGGGUGACCGGCCACAUUGGGACUGAGAUACGGCCCAG